AUCACUAGAGAUCUUGUUAAAAUUCAGGUUCCAAUUCAGUAGGUCUGGAGUGGGGCCCAGGAUUCUGCAUUUCUAACAAGCUCCUAGGUGAUGCUGA
rnacentral:pre_miRNA from 1 species